rnacentral:rRNA from 1 species
UGGGGAAUAUUGCACAAUGGGGGAAACCCUGAUGCAGCAAUGCCGCGUGAGUGAUGACGGCCUUCGGGUUGUAAAGCUCUGUCUUCGGGGACGAUAAUGACGGUACCCGAGGAGGAAGCCACGGCUAACUACGUGCCAGCAGCCGCGGUAAUACGUAGGUGGCAAGCGUUGUCCGGAUUUACUGGGCGUAAAGGGAGCGUAGGCGGACUUUUAAGUGAGAUGUGAAAUACCCGGGCUCAACUUGGGUGCUGCAUUUCAAACUGGAAGUCUAGAGUGCAGGAGAGGAGAAGGGAAUUCCUAGUGUAGCGGUGAAAUGCGUAGAGAUUAGGAAGAACACCAGUGGCGAAGGCGCUUCUCUGGACUGUAACUGACGCUGAGGCUCGAAAGCGUGGGGAGCAAACA